CCCGCCCGCACCUUCCUGAGCGCUGGGCUCUGGGCUGGGAGGCGGCGCCGCGGAGGCCGGGCGCGGGCCGAGGAGGGCGGGGCGGGGCCGGCCGCGGGAGCCGGGGUGCACUCACCGCCGCGGCGCGUCCCUGUUGGCGGGCGGCGCAGGCCUGGCCGCCGCGGGAGCCCGCCGGACGCCGAGGAAAGGAAAGGCCGGAGCCCUCCGGCUCCCUCCCCUGGGACACUUCCUGCUCCGCUCUAGGACUGGGGAGGUCUCCGCAUCUCAGUGGUUCGCUCCCCCGCCCCCCGGCCGAGGUGUGCGCUGGGGGUGACAUCCGACACCCCCGGCCCGCCCCGCUCCGCGCGCGCCUGGGCCUGGCCGCCGGGCCGGGGGCUUUGUGGGUCAGCCACGUCGCCGCGCCCGGGCUUCCCCGCGGGCCCGCCGGUCCGGAAGGUCGGCCCGGGGCUCUUUUCUCCGCUGUUCUCCUUCUCUGGCGCCCCCAGGACACGCGGCCAGUGGACGCCCGGAACGGCCGACCGGGAGUCGCGGCUGGGGAUGGAAGCUGGAAUUGGGGGUGCGGGAUGGAGCGGAGAGAGGAGGCCCCGCGCGCCGUCGGCCGCCUCAUUUCAGACUCCCCUGCGACCCCCCCCCCGCCGCCAGCCGAAGCCCGGGCCGCCCAGCCCCUCCUGCCGCUGCGGGACGCCGAAGGCUCCAGAGCUUGAGAGAAAGUGCGAACCCGGUCCCUGAGCAGGUCUGAUUCCCAUGGCCCCUUCGCCAUCUGCUCUGCACCGAAAUUGGAUUCUCCUACGCAGAGGAGAAGGUGGAGAAGAUUCUCCGUCUUCCGGAGGGUAGCUACUGCCGGUAGCUCCGAUUUCCUUCGGAUCCCCUUUCAAGGGCAAGCAGAAGGAAAUCAGUUUCUCCAAAGAAAGUGGCCCGGCUGAGUAAGUGGGAACAAGGUGGUUGGACUGAGGCACGGGAUCCUUUAGCUCCGUUGCUCUUCUAAUCCCGUGGCCCUGGGCACCGCCACUUCCUCCUCUGAACUGCUGGAAUAAUCACUUCUGACUAGCAGAGUUACUGGGAGCCGCUGUUUGUCAGUGUUCACAUUCUGACUUUAGCAGGAGAUGGAGCGAGCGAAGGAGUGAAGCCCUUGUUUGUGAACAGUGAUUGUUUCCCGGAUGACAGCCAGAUGCCGGGCAGGGCCACGCAGAUCUUAGCUGGAGCCUACAGGUACAAGUGAGAGCCACCCCCUUUGACGUAACUGGACUGGCAUUUACAGAACUCAUGUACAGCCCACUCUCAGGAACACCAGCCAGGAACCGUGACAUGGAGGAGAGGAAUUGGGAGGAACCGAGGGGUCAUCAAAGGCUGGUAGGGCUUAGGUGCUCUAGCAAACAUCCUAGUCUGUGGGGUUCCAGAGCUCUGGUGCUACAGCUCCCAACCCUUUGAUUGGCCCAGGAACUGGCUGUUGAGUGGGCAUCCGUGUUCAUAGCUCUGCCCCUUGCAACCCUAAAGCAGAUAAAAUGCAGGAGGCAGAAAUUGCUGGCAGACAGCAUCCAAUUAAUCCCCACUACCCAAUUCAGUUUCUUCCCCUGACCUGACACGUCCCUGCCCAGCUGUGCCUCCCACUGUUCACCUUUUGAGGCACAAAACGGGCUGUUUAUGCUGCUGCUGCAUUUAGCUCAAAACAGGGCUUCAGAGUCAAGGUUCUGGACUCAGGCACCCGGAUUAAAUCCUGCCCUAUGAAUUCCUAGCCAGGUGACCUCAGGCCUACAUAACCUUUCUGUACCUCAACUUCCUCAUCCAGAAAACAGGGAUGAUGCUGUCUACCUCAUUGGAUGGUUGUGCAGGAUCAAAGAUUCAGUCAUUCAGCAAACCUAUACCGAGUACCUACUGUACACUCAUGAGUGCUAGGCAGCCAGCCUUCCAGGUGCUCAGGUACAUCUGUGAACACAACUGGCUAUUGGAGGAAGCAAAAUCAGUAACAUGACCUGCUCUCUUUGAUCUGUGCUACAGAAAAAAAGGAAAGUGGAGAGGCAUCAGGAAGUCAGGAGUGCUGGGGAGGGGCUGGUAACAGUCAUGGUAUUAAAGAGGAGGGCAGGCAGGCCUUACUGUGAAGGUGGUAUUUGAGAUGAAGUAGUUGGUCAGAGUCCCUGUUUGACACAUGGAGACCACCUUGACAGCAAAGGCCCUAAGGGGGAGCGGUGCGAAGCAAGGUGGGCUGGUGAGUGAGAGGAGAGGGAUGGCAUAGAGCUGGGUGGGGGCACAGGAGCCCGUGGGGAAGGUGUUCGCCUCUGAAUGAAGUGGGGUUGUAUCAGAUACCACGGGUGAAGCAUCGGGAAGAGGAUCCUGCCUGUAAACCCUGCUCAAGGACUGCACCAUCAUCAUGCCCAGUGUGUGCGUGUAUUAGGUCUUCUGACGCAAGCUCUGCCUCUUGAGUUCAUGGUUCACUACUUCCAGCCUGGCAACUUGGUGCUGACUAAGAUUUGGAAAGAAGACAAGCUCCACCCAAGCUGGGAAGGUCCCUGUCAAGUGCCUCUGCCCCUGAGACAGCCCUGCGAACAGCUGAAUGGGGGUGGACUCACUACACUGGAAUCAAGAGGCCGGUAAAAGAGACCUGGAAAGGGAAGGAGAAAGAACAGUGGGAAGUGCAUGGGUCACCUGACGAACACUUAAAGUUAACUCUGAGAAAAAUUUAGAAAGAAAGCGUGGGCUGGCUGCAUUUCUGAAAGGUAAUAAGGCUGGGAUGGGUUAGUAUACAAAGAGCAGAAGGUCAAAAUGGAAACUGGCAGGGGACUCCCCACUGCUCAAUCAGGUUGGUGAUUAAUAUGAUUAAGACGGUAGCACCCCAAACUAUAAGAUUUGAUGCCUGUCAGGUUUUACCUUGUGGGAAUUUAGAAAAUCAGAGACAGCUCUCGCAGGCAGAUAAAUCUCUUUGCCUUGAACCAGAUGCAGGUUGCAGUAGGGCAUCACCCUUCCCCAGCUGGGAGGAUGUAUGGUGCGCUACCCAAUUUCAGGGUUGGACAGUAAACAUGGUGUGGGUAACUCCAAACUGGAAACCCUUGAAGCAUAAACUACCUCUGUCCAAGCGCUCCCCACCAAAUAACUGCCAGAAUUUAGAAUGCCAUCCUAUACUCAUCACCCUUGACAAUUCAGCCUUUCUAGACCAAGAACCAAAAGUAGCAUCUCAGGUAUAUGGGUUAGGAGAAGACAUCACAAGGAAAGACCCCCAGGUCGAUUUGAUCUCAGGCUAAUCAAGAACUCAACCUCCCAUUUGCCUGGAACUACUCCAACCCCAGACCCUAAUAAACACUUUAGUCUACCAAAUAUUAACCCUAAAAUGGUAACAAUAAUUGAGGUAAAGGAUUUAAGGCAAACCUUAGAAAUUGAGACAGGGUAUAGGGAUGUGAAUGCCUGGGUCAAAUGGGUCAUAUUUUCGGUACAAGCCCUCAGCAAAAGUAACUGCUACGCGUGUGCUGCAGGACCACCUCAGGCGCAGGUGGUUCCGUUUCCCCUGGGAUGGAA
rnacentral:lncRNA from 1 species